GGGGUUGUUACAAAUGGAGUUCAGUCAAACUGGAUUAAUGUCACAAGUGGAGUAUCUCAGGGCUUUCUAACUAAAUUCCAAGGCAGUUGAAUGCUUCACAUACAUAGUUGAGCAGAGUUCCAAUCUAGCAAACAGAAAAUAACAGCAAAAUGUUCAAGUUUAUUUCAAUGGCUUCAGGUGUCAUCAAUUCCAUUGACUAAAAAUAUUUCUUUAUAUUGGUUAUAAAUAAUCCAAUAGUAAAUGUCAGAGAAAAUUACUGACAUUUCUUGAAGACAGGAUAUACAUGGAGGGCCAUGGCAUAAGGCUUCCAGUUUAUUGCUGAUGUCUCCUUAAAGCAAAAAGGUGCUUUUCGUUACAAAUUGACAUCUCAAUUCAAGGGUGGAAGUAAAAUUCUCAGGGAAGUUAGGAGGUCAUAUAGAUGUAGAAGAAAAUCAAAAAUUGGCAGUUCAAAGUGAAGAAGUGUCACAUUAUACAACUGAGAAUUUAUUUAAAUAUUUCCUCUUGAAAUUAAGAAAUUAAAAACUUAUUAAAAUUUGAAUUAUAACCUGCAUUAUGAUAAUAAAGGAGUUUAAUUUAAAUUUUGAAAGUAACUGUACAAAAGGUAGUGACAUGCACACUUUGACCUAUCCAUGCUCUAAGUGAUAGAAGAAGAUGAAUAUGCUAUAUUACAGCUAUUUUGGAUCCUCACCAUAUCAUUACAGUCCAUUGCAAAAGGCUCCUUUGUAAAACUGUCAUGUCCAGAGCACUCCUUCCUGCAUGCUUUCCAUAACCAAUUUAGUGUAUGAGGAGGAUGGUUCCCAUCACCUGUUUUAACCAUGUGAUUACACAGAAUACCAGUGACUUGAUCAGUCUGUCUGUGUAUGGAAUAACAUGAAAAUCCAUUUUGUUCUUCAGCUGUUUAAUGUAUGCAACUGUUGGAUGGGAGAUAUGACUGUGAGCCUCAUCUGGGUGAGGCUGUACCCUGUUAACCUUGUUUUCAGAUGGAGAUGCUUCUUGGUUAUUUUAUAUACUGUUGCCUGGGGAAUGUGUACAACUUUUGCCACUGACCUUUGUGAUCAUGUAUUGCUUUCAUCUACAAAACAUCACCCUAUGUUACCAAGGUUAUGAUAUGACUUGUUGCAGAUCUGUUUCUAGAUGGUCCUGGUGCCCCAAAUUGAUCUACGUUCCUUUGUUUUCCAAUGCUGUUACAUAUCCUUUCCAUAAGCAAUCAGUUUUCAGUGGCAUCAAACUACCCACAUGAUGCCAAACAUUAUCAAAAUGUGGUUCUGAUACAUUCCACUGUGAUUUUGUAUCAGCUGUGGUUUUCACAUGACUUUUUGAUUUGCACAUUCAAAAUCACUUUAAUAAAACACUAGGGAGAAAACUCAUGCUUUGCAUAGCAUAUGAUAAAAAUUUUUUGAUUGUGAUAUUUUGUGUUUAAAUCCACAAAGUUUAUAAAAUGUAAAUGUAGUGCUGUGUAUUUAAAGUUAUUAAAACAAUUAAGUGACCUGCCUAAAAUACUCACCUAAGAGGUUAGGUACAUGGAGUUCUUAAUAAAUCUGAUGGCCAUGCUGGGCAUUUCUAUAACUCAAGAUUGAAUUUAUUCCACAACACAUAACCAACAACCACCUCCAAUGUAAAAGACACUUCGAGCUGAAAGAGUUUGGAGGUCUUGGCUCAGUGAGUGGAAAGAUUGAAAUAGAGAUCAAAAUUAAUCAUGAAGGAGAGGUUAACAGAGGUUAUGCCUCAAAACCCAUGUAUAAACCAGAAUGACUUCAAAUCAGGGUUGUAGCUAGGAUGAUUUCAGUGGUGGGUGGUAAAAACUAGUAUAGCCAGCCCAUAGAUGCACAUGCCUGCGGUGGCUGCCAUCAUACUUGAAUCCCUCAGAUGCAAAAAAAAGUUCAUUCAUGGAGACCACACAGCAAAGAUCUCAGAUUUUUCAUGGAACCCUAAUGAACCUUGGGUUAUAUGUACAGUUUAUAAAGAUAAUAUAAUGCAAGUUUGGCUGAGAAUAUUUAUAAUGAUGAGGAGCCAGAAAUGUCAGCAUCAGAGCUAGAAGCAUCCAUGUCUUGAAGUAUGUAAAAUCAUCAUUACUGUUUGGGAAAAGUGAUACUAUGACUUUUCUUCAAAAGAGUUUCAGUGAUGGACAAAUCUUGUGAAGUGAAGUUACUCCUGUUGUUGACUUUUAAAUCUUAAAUAAAUGGGUUACAACAUGAA